UACAGAGGUCCCAAGCGUUGUUCGGAUUCACUGGGCGUAAAGGGUGCGUAGGCGGUCGGGUAAGUCUGGCGUGAAAUCUCCAAGCCUAACUUGGAAACUGCGUUGGAUACUAUCCGGCUCGAGGAAUGGAGGGGAGACUGGAAUACUUGGUGUAGCAGCGAAAUGCGUAGAUAUCAAGUGGAACACCAGUGGCGAAGGCGAGUCUCUGGACAUUUCCUGACGCUGAGGCACGAAAGCCAGGGGAGCAAACGGG
rnacentral:rRNA from 1 species